rnacentral:sRNA from 1 species
GCCGGGUGCAGUGGCACACACCUGUGAUCCCAGUGGCUUGGGAGGCUGAGGCAGGAGGAUCACGAGUUCAAAGCCAGCCUCAGCUAAGCAACUCGGUGAGACCCUGUCUAUA